UACAGGGGGUGCAAACGUUGCUCGGAAUCAUUGGGCGUAAAGCGCACGUAGGCGGUUCGUUAUGUCGGACGUGAAAGCCCUGGGCUCAACCCAGGAACUGCAUCCGAAACUGCGGGCCUGGAGUGGUGGAGAGGGAAGCAGAAUUCCUGGUGUAGAGGUGAAAUUCGUAGAUAUCAGGAGGAACACCGGUGGCGAAGGCGGCUUCCUGGACACUUACUGACGCUGAGACGCGAAAGCGUGGGGAGCAAACAGG
rnacentral:rRNA from 1 species